UACGUAGGGGGCAAGCGUUGUCCGGAAUCAUUGGGCGUAAAGAGCGCGUAGGCGGUCCGAUAAGUCGGUUGUGAAAACUGGGGGCUCAACCCUCAGAGGCCGACCGAUACUGUCGGGCUAGAGUCCGGAAGAGGCGAGUGGAAUUCCUGGCGUAGCGGUGAAAUGCGCAGAUAUCAGGAGGAACACCGAUGGCGAAGGCAGCUCACUGGGACGGUACUGACGCUGAGACGCGAAAGCGUGGGGAGCAAACAGG
rnacentral:rRNA from 1 species